rnacentral:lncRNA from 1 species
UUUAUACACCAUAGUUCUCCAUAAUGAGUGUAAUGCUUCCGUUGUCCCAUAAUGUGCCAUAAUGAGAAAUCACAGAAUCAUACAAUGGCCUGGGUUGAAAAGGACCAUAAUGAUCAUUUAGUUUCAAACCCCCUGCCAUGUUCAGGGUCACCAACCACUAGAUCAGGCUUCCCAGAGCCACAUCCAGCCUGGAAUGAAGAGAUGGAGCUGGGAGCAGCUCUGGCCAUCAGUGGCCCCAACAUCCGGACUUGAAUCUUUCUAGGAAUCUACUUAGAAAUCAAAAGUACUGCUUUACCUCCCAUCCAAAGGGCUCCCAGGCGCUGAGGAAUUAAAAUGUACCCUCUGUUCUCCUUUCUGUUUUGGCUUUUUCUAGAUUCAAAGCUAAUUGCUCUGACCAGCAGUUUUCCUCAGGGAGUCAUUAUUAUGUCCCCUGUAGCCUUCUUUUUCGUUCCUCUCAUCUCCCCUGAGCUCUUGGUUUCUGCAGUGCAGAGCUCCGCAGGCUUUCCUGUUACCUCAGCUGGUCCCACUCGCUCUCAGGGUUAAGCCGCAGCUCAGUAGCUCUGACGGAGCUAUUGGAACAAUAGCGUUGUUGCUUGAAUAAAAGCAUAAUGAAAAAUGGCCCUUCAAAGAUCACAUAGAUAGUCAGAAUGCCUUACUCUCUGCACUUUUACCAGGUUUAUGAGGAAGCCAUGAAUAAUCCUUCACUGUUUUCCAGGGCUCUUUCCUUCACCCAUAUAGGACUUGAAUCGUCAGCACACAAUCCCUCUCCUGAGUUAAGCUGGUAUUGCUAUAAUAAUGCUUCUAGUCUUUUCCCUAGCACCUUCUUGAAACAUGUCAGAUCAAGACAGGAUAUUUUCUCAAUAACAGAAGUUUCUGAAGUCUAGGAAACUGUCAUUUCUUCAGUGAAUGCAAUCCCUACAAGUUCUUGUCUGACCCACUUAGCCAGGCAUGCAAUUGUUAACAAAACCUGCAUGAGACACAUGAAUCCAUAACAUUGAUGAGCAGCCUGUGUAUGCUCCAGAUGCCCACAGCAUCUGUCCCUUUGCCAACUGAGUGACCUUGAAUAAUCCAUGACACCGCAACUGUCACAGGUGCUCUCCCAUGAUGAAUAUUUUUAGCUGAUUUUCUAAAGGUAUGAAGCUCAGCAUCUCUGUUGGAAUAGGUGCUGUUGUGUGUGUGCUCUGCCUGGGAUUUCAGCUCUGCUUCUGGGAGACGGCUAAGUGAGGAACGACCAUGCAGCACAAACACCCUAGCUCAGUGCUGAACUGGGCACUCAGCCUCAUAGCCUUGCAGGUUCCUCAGCACAGACAUCAUCCCUUGGGCACUGGGAUCAGUGCCAGCAUGCUGGUCCUGCACCCCUUCCUACGUGGAAUUAGAUAAGCAGGAGAAACUCCUUCAUACUCCCAGAAUUUAUCAUAGUUGAUGUGACCGUGGAGAAAAAUUUGAGGUUUUCUCACAAGAAAUUCUCAUUGAGAUUAUAAACAGCUCUUGAUGAUAGUUGCAGAAAUGUGUCAAGGGGAAAAAAAAAAAACAGAUGAUAACAUUACAAAGCAACUGUGUCUCCUGCGUCAGGACCUUCAAAGCACAAGAUGUUCUGCUUUCUUGGCCUUUUAGACUGCUUUGUUCCAAAGAUGGUAAUCAGUUGGAAGUUUUCUGCAAGCUUUUGAUGGCCUAUUAAAUAAUGUUGUUCUUGUCUUUUAACAGUUGACAUGUCAACGUAUUAAACUUGCCAACACUUUUGGCCUGCAUCACACAGCUUAUAUCACAUAGAAAAAUUUUCAUUUUCUAAUGCUAAUGAAGCCAACUGAAUUUGGUAGUUUUGGUUUCAAGAGAGUAAUUUGUAAGCCUAGUGCUGGGCAAGAAAAUGGUACACCUUGUUGGAUAAUGCUUACAAUUAUAAUCAAGGAAAAAUGCAGACUUCUCUCCGAAUUAAUCCAGUAAGCCAAAUCUCUGUAGACUUCAACCAAAAAUGCCUAGUUUUCUAAACCUCAACUUCCUACCCAAAUAAAAUCCAUUGCUCAGAAAUGAUGACUCUUUACUCAGGCACUGCUUCUAAAAAGGUGUUAUUUAGGAUCACACCUAUUCAUAAAACCUUAAACAAAUGGCAAAAAGCAAAGGCAGUGGCAGGGGAAGCUAGAGUUUGACAAGAAGAUUCACAAAAGAAGUUUGCCAAGGCUGGGUUUUUCUCUCCCCCAGAAUAAUGAGAUCAGAGACCUUCAGAUUCUCUUCUGAUUCUGGGAUUUAUGCAUACAAAUGGCCUUUGUGUCUUCUAGGUGAUUUCUGUUUCCUAUUACAGCACUCUGCUUCCCCCCGAACAAUAUGGAGCAAUUCUAGCUUGUCUGCUAAUUAAGUGUAAAGUUGUCUGAAUUUCUUUAUUAAUACAAAUUUUAAUGCGCUCACUGAAUGGAAUAUAUUAUGUUUCCACUUCCUUCUGAGCUUACCAGGAAGAUUUUGCUAUAUUUGUACCAUAAUCUCUUCCGCUCCUCUACAGAUGAGAAGGAAAGACCCGGCCUAUUGCUGAUACAGAGCAUCAGUUUGUCAAGCAUUUUGUGCAUCCCUCGGGAUUAGUGGAGCUAUGAAAUUGUAUCAUUAUCGUUGCUUGCUGCAGUACUGAACCACAAGGCAGGGCCUGAGAGAAUAUGCAUGCAUGUUUGUGCAAUGACAUUUUUAAGCCACGUUUCGCCUUUUCAUUUCUUUAUAUCCUGCAUACUAAUCCAGCCCCAAAGUAUUCCAGGCUGGUGCCCAGAACCAGAAUUUCCUUCUGUUUUAAAUAAGCUAUUUAAGCUAUUUCACCACAGCUCAUUAUUUACAGAUAGGUGAACUGUUGCUUUUUGCUUAGACACAUUUACAACUUCUGAAGGGAGAGGCAGACUUGGAGACUGCUGUGAAGAGAUUUGGAUUUCAACCUUUGUCUCCACGGCAUGCCUUUGAAAAACAGAGCUAUUGCGGACACAGGAUUUGGCUCUGCAAGCACUAAAAUGCACACAUAAAGUGCAAUAGCAGCAUCAAAGUCAUGAUUUUGCAAUAUCUGGGCCUUAUUUAAGAAUGUGAGCCAGCCUGGAAGCACUUCAUUUUAGGCAGAUUUGUUUUCCACUUUGUUACAGAAAAGCAAAUUUCAGAGCUCAAUAAGCACCAACCUGAGGGGAAAGUCAUACACCCAUCAGAGAGAGAAGUGGGCUUGAAAGAGCCUCCCUUGACAUGCUACAGAAGUUAGUGUUUCCUUGGAAGUCUCUAUGUUUAAAAAAAAAAAAAAAAAAAAGCUUGUAAACUAAAGGUCUAUAAAUGAACAAAUAAAUGAUAAGAGCUGAUAAGAGCUGGUCUCAGCAUUUCCUGUUGUUCAAGUUCUGCCACCACACCGGGCCAUUGUGCUCCUGUUGGUCCCUAAGGGCUGUGCCAGAGCCAACACUGCCAACACUUGCAGUUCCCUGACAGGGUGCGACCGUGCUUUUGGACACGGCCCUAAGCAAACAGCAGUGGUGAACUUUUCCAGCCAGCAAGGGAAGUCACAGUGACGCGGCAAGCCAUGCUUCCAGCAAAGCCUGGCCAGGAGGGAUUAACUCUUCCCAAGGCAAAGGAUUAUCUUCUCUGCUGUCCAGAUCUGAACAGGGGGCUCAUUUACCCACUCAUCGUGCAAUCCUUCCUCUUCCAUUGGCUUGUUUCAGAUACAGAAGGAGUACCUGCAAAUUGGAAAGCAGAGUUUGGAGCAAAUGAGUGGCAGCACUGUACACAGAAAUGAAGUUUUGGUUUGGGGAAAUGUCAUGCUUGUUCUCCACAGCAGGAAAGUGGAUGCAUGGAAGCAUCACCACGGAUAAUUUCCAGUGAUUUGGAGAAUGGAAUUCUGUAUGGGAACAGAAGAUAACACUUCAAGAACAGGCCAGUGAGAAGAAAAGAAAGACAGUGAAACAUAGCAACUGUCUGAAAACAUACAGAAGUUCAGAAGGUCAAAAAGGUUGAGUCACUAUUUUCUCGCAAAUAAGAUUACACAUAAAGAUAAACAGAAAGCAAUUUUCCUCACUAUCUGUGGCAGUAAAAGUUAACGCCCUAUGAAGUGUCUUGUUGCAAUCUAAGAAAGCAGGAACCGUACAUCUUCAAGACCUGUAAGAGAUCUCUGCAUGCCCCAAACAAGGAAGCAAAGGCAGUAAAUGUCUUCAAAUUUCGUAACAGAAUAAGGAAAUGAAACAGGAGAUCAAUACCUGGCACAGCUAAAAAGCAAAAUGAACAUGUAUUUAGAAAUGUCUUUGAGAACUCGCUUCAGUGCAGAUGUAGAGUAUUAGUGAUGAAUGACUUCAGAAUGUUUUCAUGAGAGAGGGAAACAGAACUUGACCCAAAGAUGUUGAAUUAGCAAUGACACAAGGAGUAGUCAGAGUGACAUGAACUGAUUCAAUAAGCAAAGCAAAACAUAUAGACAGCUGGAAACACCACAGAUCCUUCUGUCUCCAGUAUGAGUUCAUUCUAUAUGUACUUGUAAAUGUGAAUUAUCUACAAAUGUCAGACAGGCCUCCAAGAGCAGAACCAUGGCUAAGAUGAUGCUAACUCGCAUCUGCCUUAAGGGUGGUCUCUACUCUCAGAGGACACACGGACAGGAAAAAAAGCCAAAUUUGGGGUUGUGAGGAUGAAAGACAGAGAAGUCGGUAUAGCUUGUGUUGUACACAGCAGGAAGCAACAAAGCAUGGUGGAAUUAAAUAGUUAUAAUGGAGAUGCAGCUUCUCUUACCAUGAACCCUUCAUAUCAGCAGCACCAAGAUGAACCAGGCACCCACAGUAACAAGCUUGCUCCUACCCAGGUGGAAGCUAUCCAUGAGAAUGGGUUAGAGUUCAUCCCAUCACAACAGGAAAACUAAAAUCACACUGCAGUGGUUAACUGUGUCAGGAAAUAAAAGUUAAGCAGCAGAAAAGGAAGAAACUGAUUUACAGACCUGUUACAGGGAGUUCGUGAGUACAGCAACUCAAGACCAUCUACAUCAGUAUUAAUGAUAAAGGUACAAAUCUGAAAACAUAGCACAGUGGAUGCAUUAAAUGCGAUGAAGGAGACUGCCUGUACAAACUGAGUUCUUACCGCUGGGAUACCAUAUGAAUCCAGAAUUUUCAGGUAAAACAGGGAAGAUUCAAUGAAAAUGUUGCUUGAGUUGAGAUUAUCCUUAUCAUAGACGGACAGGAACCCAUGAGCUUCCAGCAUGUUUACUCCUCUACUCUGCUCUCCUGAGACUCCAUCUGAAGUACUGUGUCCAGUUCUGGGGUCCCUAACACAAGAAAGACAUGGAGCUGUUUGAGCAGGUCCAGAGGAGGCCACGAAGAUGAUGAGAGGGUUCAAGCACUUUCCUCACAAGGACAGCCUGUGAGAGCUGGGGCUCCUCAGCCUGGAGAGGAGAAGGUUCCGGGGGACCUUACAGCAGCCAUCCAGUACCUGAAGGGGCCUACAGAAAAGCUGGGGAGGGACUUUUUAGAAGGGCAGGAGAAAUGUUUUAAACUGGAAGAGGGUAGAUUUAGACUAGAUAUUAGGAAGAAAUUCUUUACUGUGAGGAUGGUGAGACACUGGAACAGGUUCCCCAGUGAGGCUGUGGAUGCCCCCUCCCUAGAAGCAUUCAAGGCCUGGCUGGAUGGGGCUUUGAGCAACCUGGUCUAGAGGGAGGUGUCCCUGCAUAUAGCAGAGGGUUGGAACUAGAUGAUCUUAAUGGUCCCUUCCAUCCAAAUCCAUUCGACAAUUCAGUGAUUCUAACAUGGGAGAUGCUUCCACAGGAACUUCACUACCAGUUUAAAACGGGGAUAAAGUCAGAAGCAGCAGUUCUCUUCCCGUCUCACCUAUACCACAGCAUGGUUAAUUGUAUCCAGUUAUCACCAAAGAUUCAUCAACACCUGAAGGAAGAUUUCCCUCUGAUGCAGGUGCAUAAGAUAAUCCCUAUAAUACUGGAGUUUGCUAUAUCAAGGCAAAUGCAAGAAACUGACACUCAAAUCAACUCCACGAUGAUUUGCAUGGAGCACUGGUCUCACAGGAAAACUUUGGUUCUCUCUUCUAUUGUGUCAAGGCAUCAGUGGCAGCUGGGAAAAAGAAACAAAGGUACAUCAAACACAGCAUCCAACCUCUUAAAGCCAGGGCAGUAGGGUUACACGUAAAGCUCAGACAUAUCAGGCAGACAUGAGAAAAAUGUGCUUUCACAUUUGAAAUGGGGAGAAGAGGUGAUGGUCUCAACAACUUCCAUGACCUGUGCAAGCCCAAAAAGAUGAGGGCUACCAAGGACCAGCCACAGCACUUAACGUGAGCAGUGCUCCCAGUUUUACGAGCAUGAAGACUUUUGGAACAAGAUGGCACAUUUCGGUUUCCCAGUAUCUUUUUUAGAGCUGAAAAUGAUAAAUGAAACCCUGGCAACAAAACUACUUCAUUAGUUUUGCUCAACCCAAAGCACAGAACAGUUCGUGAAGUGGUGAUGGAAAUAGAUGUAGCCCCAACACUGAUAUGAGGGAAGAGAAGAAUUUGCUUAGGUUUACUCAUGCAGAUGCAGAAAGGAAGUAUUAAGGGAACAAAAUGCCACCUUCUUUCUUUGAGCUUUUCCUUGUUUUUGUUUCUUGUUUUAAGUUUCAAGGCUUAGUGAUGAAUAAGCUGCAUGCAAAAAAGCUGGCAUCACAUUUUUCAGAUUACAUCUGUAAUUAGAAAAGGAUAGAGGCCAUUCCCUGGCCCCAGCAAGAAGACUAUAUGGUGUCACAGCAUUUAUAUCCAUACAGAUAAAUCUCUGCUCCACAUUCCUGUUCCCAGCACAAGGUGGUCAAGCCCAUAUCUGCUUUUCCAUGUUGUUCCCAUAGCAUUCCAGAGCAAUCUCUGGAAGAGCACUCAUUAGUGUGGGCCAAAUCAGACUAAGGAUCAUGCUGAUUAUUUAACAAUACAGCUAUCUGCAGUACAGAGCAUAGUGUGCCAUGUCCUGUGCCAUGACGCUGUUCAGUUUAUGAGCACUGAGGUAGCUUUACAGCCUCUUGAAGCUGUGCUCACAUCACAGGGAAAUCAGGCUGGAGUUCCUUCACAGCAUGGUUUGUGAGUCCUGUGCAUGAUGACCAUGGGUCAGGGCCAGGAGAAUGGAGAAGGCAGGACACGUCUUCAGAGAAACAUCCUGUAGGUGUGGGGAGCUGAUACCUGACAGUAAGACUGUGGCUGGGUCCUACACUGAAACACUGUGGAGUUGUCAUCAGGGCUAUCAGGAUUGGUCAGCUGUCUGCAGAGCAGAGUCUCGACCCAUGUUAUUGCCCUUUUUAAAUCAAUUUGCACAGAAACUUAUGCAUACCCACACGCACAACCACAACUGGUGGUAUGACUGCGUAAUUCAGUGUAUUCUGGAAUGUUAUAGUGGAACUCUGAUUAUUUCAGAGGCUCUUUUUAAAAACUUCCUGCUUAAGAGUACAAACACCAACAUGCAAGCACUAUUCCUGCUAAUGCUUAAGUUACACGCAUUGAUCUGGGUGUGGAUUUCUACCAAAAUUGCAGGGUUUGUUCCACUAAGCAGAUGGCCAUAAAUUAUGCACUGUAUUCUUGAAAAGCACUGAUCAUGCCUGGAUGUGAAAGGAACUGAUUGGCAUGAAGAAGACUUUUUUAUUAUUAUUAUUUAAUCAGAAGAUGGGAAGUUGCCUAAAUCAAGUGUAGUGAUGUAUUUGUAUGUAGGACUGAUUUCUGCUUUGGGCAAAGUUUUGAUUUGAUUUAAAUCCCUGAUUUAGAGAAUUUGAAAUGCUUGCCUCAAAGGGUAGUAUCAGUGUUUAUUACACUUCUGCAGCCCCCAUUCAGCAGUGCUGGAGAAGGGAGCUGAAUCAGUCUGUUCACUGAGAGCAUCUAUUCUUUCCAGGCAACCAAAAAGAAUGUAAUUUUUGUAUGACUGACAAAAGGAGGAAAAAUGGGUUUCCAAUUUAGGUGAUUGUCCGGGAAUGCAUAGAACAAAAAAUGCUACCACAGGCACACAACAGAAAACAUAAUUUAGGUAAGACAGAUAACAUCUUGCACAAAACCAGAAGCCUAUUUCCUAAGGUACCACUGGGGCCAUUUCAUUAUUUGCAAAUAAAAUGGUCCCAGCUGGUUAAGACGGUACCCGAUUCGCAUGUGCCAUUGCUUACAUCACUGUCAGCAUAUCUGCAAGACAAGGUCACCUGAAUACAUGGCAUUUCAUUUCAGUCACCGCUUCUGUCAGGAAACAGACUGUUCCUGAAAAUGCAAAGAACUCCGUUUAAUGAUUAACCACCAAAAUGGAUUCUCACUUUAUAAUCGAGGGAAAGGGCAAACCACUGUGACCAGUACACUUUCAGAACUGCUCAUUUUACAAAAAAAAAAAAAAAAAGAAAAAAAAAAAGAAAAAAAAAAAAGAAAGAAAAUAAUCACCACAGUCCCUAAUAUUGCUAAAGAAAAUGCAGACUGGAAUAUUUUGUAGAAAGCCUCUGGCGCAUUAGAAGUUCUCCUGCCCUCUGUAUCUCAGGGUGUAUCACUUCCUACAGAACAGCAGUACUUUGCCUCCAGCAACUCCCUCCACAGUUCUUUCAGUACUGGGAAACCUUGCCUGGUGAGAUUGGUUUUCUCCCUCUAGGACAUUUUGAUAUAGAAGUGCUGUUUUAUGCAUCUUUAUUUCAAUAAAUAAAGUUGAUUGUUGCUCUGUUUGCUUUUCUGGUUUCACUAUUUUUACUGUGUAUAACAGAUGGAUCUGCUAGCAACAAAAACAGAUAAAGUUGCUUAACAUUUUCUGUGACAAGUCUCUGUUUUCAGAUGCUUAUAUCUCAUUUUAUCCAGUUGGGCUAAAGCAUUUCAUGCUUGCUUCUUGCCUCAGAUUGAUUUUUUUCUCUCUAUUUUUUUCAUAAAAAUGAUUCUUCUACUUCUGAGAAUCAGAAAAUAAAUAAAUAGAUUUCCUAGUGUUAAUUUCACUCUUGUAAGGCCAUUUGGGAUGAGAGUGCUGCAUUUUGAUAGGAAGGUUGUGGUGGAAUGAAUUCAAUUAACAGCUUUACAACUUUUAAUCCAUGGACUGAUCUUAUGAACGUUACAACUACUGUGAGCAAAGCACGUUACUUAAAAUCAUAGAGCCAUGGAAUCAUUCGAGUUGGAAGGGACCCAUAAAGGUCAUCCAGUCCAACUCCCCUGCGCUGAACAAGGACACCUACAGCUAGAGCAGGUUGCUCACAGCAUCCUGACCUUCAACGUCUCCAGGGACGGGGAAUCCACCACCAUUCUGGGCAACCUAUUCCAGUGCCUCACCACCCUUACUGCAAGAAACUUCUUUCUGCCCAAUCUAAAUCUCCCCAUCUUUUAAUUUGAAACCAUUUCCCCUUGUCUUGUCACAACAGACUCUGCUAAAGAGUUUGCCAACUUCUUGCAUAGCACUGACUUCUGAGCUCUGUGGAUUUAGAAAAAAAAAAUCAUUUAAAAUCAUUAAAAUCAUUCCAAUAACUUGGAAACACUACUACCACAGAAAACAGCUGAAUCCUUAAUAUUCCACCUCUGAAAAUGUUAGCAGGUACAUAUGCACACACACACACGUAUAAAUGACUGUGGAAGAUAUGCACUGCCUUAUGUUAGAGAAAUUUGACCUAACGAUGGCCUAAAGAUUUCAGGUAGGACGCUGCCCCCACCAAAAUAGUUGGAAUAUUUUUCUGUUGACUUUGCUGGAGAAAGUAUCGUUUCCUUGGUGAAG